rnacentral:lncRNA from 1 species
GGCGUUGCCGUGAGCUGUGGUGUAGGUUGCAGACACGGCUCGGAUCCCGCGUUGCUGUGGCUCUAGCGUAGGCCGGUGGCUACAGCUCCGAUUCAACCCCUAGCCUGGGAACUUCCAUAUGCCGCGGAAGCGGCCCAAGAGAUAGCAACAACAACAAAAAGACAAAAGACAAAAAAAAAAAAAAAAAAAAAAAAAAAAGAUAUACUCCAUGUUGUUUAUAGUUUACCAUCCUUAGCUGGUAGACUUUGUACUUAAGAUCACUUUCCUCAUGGCUUUAGUAUAACUUCCACAGUUCCAGAGGUCAAAUACUGAGGUAUAAAGUCCAGAGAAAGAGGAAGUAUCGUUUUCUUGUAUCUCUAUUUAACAGGCAAGUAAAAUGUUCCUCAAAGCACACUUUACCCUUGGGGGGGGAUGGGUGAGGGGGAAGGGUGGAGCGGGGGUGGGGGGUGGGUAUCAUCUCAUCUACCUCAUUGGUUGGAAUUGAAUCACAUGUUCAUGCUUAAUCCAAUCCCUGGCAAGAGAAAUGAGAUUAUCAUGAUUGUCUCAGACCUGUCAGGAUUUACCCACAAGUAGAGGCAGGCAUGGCUGUUGGAUAAGUAGUGCUUGGUGCCUGCUACCCUGUUAUCUUUUCCAGGUCUUAAAAGCUGAGCAACCUCCUGACAUUUAAUAAAGGAAGAAGUUAGAGGAAAGAAUUUUUUUUUUUUUUUAUUUUGAAAUGAGCUUUUGCUUUCAGAAGCCUCACAUAGUUGUAAAUAAAAUAAUAAAGCUCCAUGAAUUUGGGGUCCUUUACAGUAUUCAGGGUUGUAUUGUCCAGAUCGUUCUGUCACCACUGGUUAUACAUGGUUAUUUACAUUUAAAUUAAUUAGAAUUAAAUCAGAAUCACACUAGUCGAAUUUCAAGUUCACAGUAGCCACAAAUGGCUAAUGCCUACCCUUUUAUACAGCACAAGAUAUAGAACUUUUCCAUCCUUGUAGAAAAUGCUAUCAGACAACACUACUCAGAGAAUUAGACAUAGAGAAGCCAGCAGGUGACAUUUACUGAGCACUGACUCUGUCGCAGGCACUGGGCUCAUUGCUUUGUCUGUCUUAAUUGUUGUGGAAACCAGUGCUCUGAGUUAUGCCCUUUUUAUAGAAAGGAAGUCAUUGUGAGGAAGUGGCCUCCUGGAGAACAAGUUAGUGACCUUUCCUAAGCAAUGACACCUGUCUGUCGUGACCUGCCCUCCUAGUCACUGAAGCUAAGUUUGGAAGUGGGGCAACCCAACACUUCCAUCCAUCCAUCUUUUAAGUGAAAAGCAGAUGUUAGUUUAAGAUCUUCCACGUGUACAGGCCUCUCGAGAUCAAGAAUGCCCCAUGUAGCCCUCCUUUCCUUUUGCUUGUCUCAGGGAAUUAUAGCUCCUCAGCAUGAUUUCUGCCAAAGUUUUGCAUCUUUAGCUAAAUAAAUCAGGGACUGAAAGUGAGCGUUUUGUGUGUGUGUGUGUGUGUGUGUGUGUGUGUGCGUGUGCGUGUCUUCUUCUCACCACAGGGCUGUAAUAGAGAACAAAACAAACAAAAUUUUUUACCUGGUGAAGACUGACACUGAAGCAUGCACAGAAUAAUAAGUAAUCUCAUGAAAUAAUACUAUAAAAACUAAAGUAAGGUAAGGUCAUCAAGAGACAUGAAAAGAAGAAAGGUGCUAUUUCAGAAGGGGAAGCCAGAAAAGGCCUUCUAAUGAGGUGCUAUUUGGGAAAAGAACUUGCGUAUAAUGAGAGACUGAGCCAUGUGGAUAUCUGGGGCAGGUAUUCUGGGGCAGAAAAAAAGUGAAGCGAUAAUGGAACUAGGAAAGAUUAAAUAAUAUUCCUAAAAUCACUCUAACUUUAGUUGGGACUUAUUCUAGAACCUUGAGUAGCCCAGGAUGCUGUCAGUGUCUUAGCAUGCAUAGCAUGGCCCCCACAAGAAGGAAUUAUCUGGCCCCUGAUGUCAGUAGUGUCCAGGUUGAGAAACCCUGUGCUACAGGCUCUCCUGAGUUCCUUGCUUUUGUGCAGUCUGUCGCCAUGAUGCUGUGAGAGCUCCACCUUUCUAGCCAGUUACAAAAUCAUUUCCUAAAUGGAGCAAAUAUUCUCUGGCAAGAAUGCAGCAGGCUGUGUCAUGCGGGUUGGCUGAGGUGUUGCAGUGAGUGGCAUGGCAUUCACUCCUCUCUGGAGACCGGAGAGGAGAAAUGGAAAGCUUGGCAAGUUGACCAUUCCAGGAGUUUUUGCAUGAACUCAUAAAAGCAUAUAUCACAACUCUGGUCAUGGGGAAAAGCCCCUCCUCUCAUAUUGUGUGAAGGCAAUUAAUGAUAGGCAGCAGUAAAGAGGUGAUGAGAUUGCUUUUAUUGUUAUUGUUUUAUUUUUGAGGUCCCUGGUGACUACUCCUUGUGUCAAUCCUUUGAUCUAAGAAGCUGUUAUGAAAUAAUAUGUCUUCGUAUUGCUAGCCGUGAAGGACCCUUCAGAGGAGCUGAUCAAGAUGCUGCAGCACCAUGAGAAAAUUUACAGUUACCUGGUGUGAACCUUGACAAGUCACUUCAAAGCUGGGCAGGGCAUAGCACGCUUUCAUAAGUGAUCACUUUUACAAAAGGGAGUGGAAAGGAAAAUAGAGCUAUGCGUGGUGACUGUCAGGUCAUCAUGAUCUAGCUUUUUGUCAAGUGUCAGCACCUUAAUGUUUGAUAUGAGUAAUGUUAAUGUUGUAAUAAUGGUCACAGAGUGGAUUCCUCACCUUCCAUGUAUGGCCUAAAAGAUUAUACUCUGUUCGGGAUGUAAAUGGGUGUUUGUGUAUCUUUACAGGUCAAGGUGUCCUUAUCUUUCUACAGAGCAGGUGGUUGUUAUCUACUUGCUCUGUCCUCUUGUUCAUGUUUAGAUAAAGACAGAUUUGUGUGGUCACUGCCCCCAGGGAGCUCAAAGUCUCUUUUCCUCUUUCUCUUUUGAAAAUGAAAUCUCAUUAUCUGUGAUAGGCAGUGACUUAGAAGGUUAAAUAUACCAAGAUCGAAUAUAUUUAUCCUGAUACUCCUGUAGUAGGCCUACGGAGAUUUUGAAAAGGUGUGAGAGAUCAUUCAUAUGCCAGGUUGACCCAGAAAUAUUCUUUCUUUGAAUUAGAAUGAUAACAUCUUACCCAAGUAUUGACAUAUUCAUUUAAAUUGUGUUCAAAUCUGUGUUAUUCUAGCUCCCUUGGUCCCUACAAUUUGGAAUUCAAAUCCAGAUGGCUAUUUAUGUUGAAGGUCAUGUGAGAAGCACUUUUCUCCCCAAAGAAAUGUUGGCAUUAUCGUAGUGUCUUUUUCGUAUCCUGUCUUCUUUCUCACAUCCAAGACUAGUUCCAAAGAAUUUUGUUUGUCGUUACUGUUGAUAAGAGACUUUGGUUUUGAAAUAUGUUUUCUCUUUUAAGUUUUUUUUCUCUUAAAUUUUUGAGUCUAACAUUCCUGAUUGAUAACUGUAUCUUCCAGGUUUCCAUACAUAUGUGAAAGGGGUAGAUUUGGGAUUUCAAAUCUCUCUGGUGGAAAUACCAAUUGAAUUAUAAAAAGGAGAUAUGUUCCUAUCACAAAUGUAUUAUUUAACACCGUUAUUAUAUUAAAAUAUGUUUUCCAAUUAAAAUGUUUGUUAUAAAACAGCUAUUCAUUAUUGAAGUAUUACUUCAAAUAGAAUAGCCACACUCCAUUUGUUAAGUAUUUUUUUGUAGUAAGAAAGGGACACCAUGCUCUUUUACUCUGUUUUCUUUUGGUUUGUUCAAAUAUAUCAUGAUUUCACUGUUGUAAAUAAUUUUUCCUAACUUUCCUUACUCAGACAACCUCAAAAUGCAUAGAUUCUCAUUUCAGUAAUUUUUCUAAAGGUUGUUCUGAGUGCUGCCCUUUGUAGAAUAUGUCUUACUGGAUCUUAGCAUUUAAAGUUUUUUUUUUUUUCAGGAAUUUGCAUCAUGGCUCAGUGGUUAAUGAACCUGAUUAGCAUCCAUGAGGAUGUAGAUUCCAUCCCUGGCCUUGCUCAGUGGGUUAAGCACUGCUGUGAGCUGUGGUGGAAGUGGCAGAUGUGGCUCAGAUCCAUUGUUGCUGAGGUUGUGAUGUAGGCCAGCAGCUACAGCUCUGAUUCGACCCCUAGCCUGGGAACCUCCAUAUGCUGUGGGUGC